UACGUAGGGGGCAAGCGUUGUCCGGAAUCAUUGGGCGUAAAGCGCGUGUAGGCGGUUCGGUAAGUCUGCUGUGAAAGUCCGGGGCUCAACCCUGGGAUGCCGGUGGAUACUGUCGGACUAGAGUACGGAAGAGGCGAGUGGAAUUCCCGGUGUAGCGGUGAAAUGCGCAGAUAUCGGGAGGAACACCAAUUGCGAAGGCAGCUCGCUGGGACGUUACUGACGCUAAGACGCGAAAGCGUGGGGAGCAAACAGG
rnacentral:rRNA from 1 species